AACUUGCAGCAACUUGGCGAAAAUGCCUUGUGGAAACUGCGCGUCUUGAAACUGAGACAAUUCCACUUCGGGGCGUAACCAGGAGAGCUUGAACUACUUGAAAAAGUCCACCAUGAAUCAGGUAAAGUAAUGUCUUGGGUUGACUUUCUAUUGCAUUUAAGCCUGUUUAAAUAAUUAUUAUUUGAAGAAUAUUGGCUGCUCAGGUUA